rnacentral:rRNA from 1 species
UCCGAAGUUCGCCGAGCGGGUCGUUCGUGAUGAGGCGGGCGGGCGGGCGUGCGUGCAGUCGGCAAGUACCAGGAGCAGACAUGUUGGGACCCGAAAGAUGGUGAACUAUGCCUGGCCAGGAUGAAGCCAGAGGAAACUCUGGUGGAGGUCCGUAGCGAAUCUGACGUGCAAAUCGAUCGUCUGAGCUGGGUAUAGGGGCGAAAGACUAAUCGAACCAUCUAGUAGCUGGUUCCCUCCGAAGUUUCCCUCAGGAUAGCUGGAACUCGCAGGAUGAGUUUCAUCCGGUAAAGCGAAUGAUUAGAGGUCUUGGGGACGAAACGUCCUCAACCUAUUCUCAAACUUUAAAUGGGUAAGAUGCCGAGCUUGCUUGAACGCUGAAGCUUCGGCGAUUAAUCUGAGUAUCUAGUGGGCCAUUUUUGGUAAGCAGAACUGGCGCUGUGGGAUGAACCAAACGUCGAGUUAAGGGGCCUAAAUGAAUGCUCAUUCAGAUCCCAUGGAAAGGCGUUGGUUGCUAUAGACAGUAGGACGGUGGCCAUGGAAGUUGGAAUCCGCUAAGGAAUGUGUAACAACUCACCUGCCGAAGCAACUAGCCCUUAAAAUGGUAUGGCGCUCAAGCAUUCUCCCGAUACUCGACCGCCGGGGCACUAGCGGCCACGUCCCUGGAGGCGAGGUCUCGAAGCCCCGGCGAGUAGGAGGGUCGCAGUGGUGAGCGCUGAAGGGAUCCGGCGUGAGCCGGCCUGGAGCCGCCACUGGUGCAGAUCUUGGUGGUAGUAGCAAAUAAUCGAGAGAGACUCCCUUGAAGACCGAAGUGGGGAAGGGUUCCAUGUGAACAUCAGUUGGACAUGGGUUAGUCGCUCCUAAGCCCAAGGCUAAGGCCUGAUCCCACGCUAGCGGCAACGGCUAAUGUAAUAAGUUCUCUGAGGCAGGCAGAGAGAGAGAGAGAGAGAGAGAGAGA